AGCAGUCUUCCGCAGAGGGGGGGUGGUGGAGGGGGAAAAAAAAGAAUUUGUAAAACGUAGGGAAAUAUACACAGACCUCACUGCUGUGGUACGUGUGCAGGGAACAUCAGAAUAAUAAUUUACUAAUAAUAAUACUUAAAUAUGACAAGAGCAAAGUACACAGCUUGACCGGAGAACUAUGAACGUUUCUGUGUACGCAUGCGCAGUGCAGAUACGCGAGUGUUUCGCUUUGCGGAGAACCAGCGUAGAUGCGUCCGCGUCCGCGUUGGGAGCAUCGCGUCGGCUCGCUGCUGGAGAGAGAAUAAUAGAGCGCAGGCUAAAGUGCAGUUCGGUCCCCAGCGAGUCUCUCAGCGCGGCGUGUCUCACAGCGCAGGGGGCAGCCGGAGCGCCGCAGACUCGGGCGGCUACUUGAGUAUAUUGGGAAUAAAAUACUCCUGCCAGCUGACGCUGGACCCCAACACAGCAAACAGAGACCUGUCCCUGUCAAAG